GUCCACGCCGUAAACGUUGCACACUAGGUGUGGGGCCCUAUCGACGGGUUCCGUGCCGUAGCUAACGCAUUAAGUGUGCCGCCUGGGGAGUACGGUCGCAAGACUAAAACUCAAAGAAAUUGACGGGGGCCCGCACAAGCGGCGGAGCAUGUUGCUUAAUUCGAUGCAACGCGAAGAACCUUACCUAGGUUGAACUACGCAGGAAAAGCCAUAGAGAUAUGGUGUCCGAAAGGGUCUGCGAUAGGUGGUGCAUGGCUGUCGU
rnacentral:rRNA from 1 species